rnacentral:rRNA from 1 species
UACGUAGGGGGCAAGCGUUGUCCGGAAUCAUUGGGCGUAAAGAGCGUGUAGGCGGCCAGAUAAGUCCGCUGUGAAAUCUCGAGGCUCAACUUCGAGCUGUCGGUGGAAACUGUCUGGCUAGAGUCCGGAAGAGGAGAAUGGAAUUCCUGGUGUAGCGGUGAAAUGCGCAGAUAUCAGGAAGAACACCCGUGGCGAAGGCGGUUCUCUGGGACGAUACUGACGCUGAGACGCGAAAGCGUGGGGAGCGAACAGG